rnacentral:rRNA from 1 species
UACGUAGGUGGCAAGCGUUAUCCGGAUUUAUUGGGCGUAAAGAGAACGCAGGCGGUCUUUUAAGUCUGAUGUGAAAGCCUUCGGCUUAACCGGAGUAAUGCAUUGGAAACUGGUAGACUUGAGUGCAGGAGAGGAGAGUGGAAUUCCAUGUGUAGCGGUGAAAUGCGUAGAUAUAUGGAGGAACACCGGUGGCGAAAGCGGCUCUCUGGCCUGUAACUGACACUGAGGCUCGAAAGCGUGGGGAGCAAACAGG